UCUUGUUGUGUGGUGUUGUCUCUCAGUUGGACCCGUGGGUGACCCAAGAUGGCUGUGACCCUUACCUCAGAGAGGAACACUGUACCGUGGUGAGGUCACUGAGGAGGAGUGCAGAACUCUGUCAAGUUUGUCCCCAGCCUUUCUGCUGUGAUCCUGGUGAAGGCCAUGCUGCGGAAGAGGUCGUUCGGUAACCCCUUUGAGUCCCAGAAGUAGAGAGGAGAGGUCCAUGUCUGCACCUGGCAACCUGUUAAUGGAUGUGUGGCCGUUCCGCCACUCUUUAAAACUCCACCCCUCUCUAAGG